rnacentral:snRNA from 8 species
AUCGCUUUUCGGCCUUUUGGCUCAGAUCAAGUGUAGUAUCUGUUUUUAUCAGUUUAAUAUUUGAUACGUCCCCCAUCGGGGGACUACAUAUUAAAUGGAUUUUUCGAACAGGGAGUGGGAAAUGGGGCUUGCUCCGUCCGCUCCACGCAUCGACCCGGUAUUGCAGUACCUCCGGGAAUGGGGCAACACUU